UAGAUGGUUCAAGCUUUUCUG
rnacentral:siRNA from 1 species